GGCCUUGUAUUCAUUUUGUGAUUAUAGAAUGCAAUUCUAUAGGGGUGAGAAAAACAGAGCUCAUCAAGGCCU
rnacentral:tRNA from 1 species